CCUACGGGAGGCAGCAGUGGGGGAUAUUGCACAAUGGGGGGAACCCUGAUGCAGCAACGCCGCGUGAGUGAUGAAGGGCUUCGGGGUGUAAAGCUCUGUCAGCAGGGACGAAAAUGACGGUACCUGAGGAAGAAGCCCCGGCUAACUACGUGCCAGCAGCCGCGGUAAUACGUAGGUGGCAAGCGUUGUCCGGAUUUACUGGGCGUAAAGGGGGCGGAGACGGCCUUUUAAGCCAGGUGUGAAAGACCCGGGCCCAACCCGGGGGCUGCAUUUCAAACUGGAAGGCUAGAGUGCAGGAGGGGAGAAUGGAAUUCCUAGUGUAGCGGUGAAAUGCGUAGAUAUCAGGAAGAACACCAGUGGCGAAGGCGA
rnacentral:rRNA from 1 species